GUGCGGCGCGUGCGCACAGGACGGGACGGGAGGGCGGAGCGACUGCGCAGAUCAGGAAAAUUGUCACCUCUGGCCUCAGGGAAACUGAGGCUCUGAGCAGUUAAGAGGCCAACGAUCCAGGUUUAUGCUAUCAGUGUCUGAGAUACAAUUAAGUCACCUUUUUGGGUGACAUUUCCCUUGACUAGUACCUCAAGAUUAUGAUCCAGGUGGACCAUCCCUCCAUUGCCUCCAGACAUGUCUAUGACGCUACCUAGGGAUUGUGAAGAUUUACCACCUGGUGGAAAAUUAAAAAAAAAAAGACUUAUUCUGCAAAUUGACCAAGCUUAAGAGAUACAGCACUGAGAAUUCACCCACUACAGAGCUGGUAACCAGGCCUUCAGAGUAAGCUGUGAUGUAUAGCCAUUCUCCUCAGCAGCCUGUUUGACUGAGGGAUAUAGGAAUGACUGCCCUUACCCAUGUUUUUGUUCAGAUUUAUGGUUCUAAAUCUGAUGGAAAAUCUAUCAUUGGACCAUUUGAUUCUUCCUAAAGAAAGGCCAAACCACCUGUCAAACCCACGAGCAACACAGCAAUGGCUAAGCUGAAGAAGCCAAGUUAUAUGUCUAGCUCCUCUGUGGGUGGCAGGAUCCAGCUGUGGGGAGUCCAAGGUUCCUUGUGUUCUUCUGGCUUGACUAUGAUAUUUCCAAUUUGGAGGCACAAAGAAUUGAGAACUUGGGGAUCCACUGAGGUCUGAGGCAUGGUGGUACCAGAAGAAAUAAAGGGGCCAUCAGCAUGAAGCUGGUCUCCCAUUGACAGCACCCUGACUUCUCCAUCAGGUUCUAUCAGCAUGUCUACUGUGAGGUUGGUGACGCUGUCUGCAGAGGUCAGAAGAGGGCUUCGGAUCCACUGGCGCUGAACUGAUACAGGCUUCUGAGCCUUGAUAUGGGCGCUGGGAACUGAACCUGGGUCCUCUACAAGAACAAUGGACUUUAAGGAAGGAUCUGAACGCCAGCCAGUGCCGCAUGAUGCUCCUGAGAUCUUCCAUUCUUCCAAGAACAACCAUAGCAUAUACAAGACAGCACACCACCGUUGCUACCGCCAGUGCCGCUGUACUGGUGGGAUACAUACACUUUCCAGCUUGUGAAUCGGGAGGCACACUUUCAAACAAAAACACUCUGUACAGCCUCAAGAGAAGGCUGCCUGCAACUGCUAGAGGUGGAGACACCACACAUGCUAUCGCAGUCCUUGGGUAAUAACUGUGUGUCAUAAAUAGGAUGUGGCAUUUCAGAAUGUCUUUAAAGCUAUUUCCUUUUGUUCAACUAAUUUAAUUUACCAAAUGCUCCUGGGGAAAGGGAGGGGGAUCAAGAUGCUGACUCCACAUUUCCUGGGGGGGGGGAGAAUCACCAUUUCCUU
ensembl:processed_transcript Gm16759 predicted gene, 16759